rnacentral:rRNA from 1 species
UACGGAGGAUGCGAGCGUUAUCCGGAUUUAUUGGGUUUAAAGGGUGCGUAGGCGGGAUGCCAAGUCAGCGGUAAAAAUGCGGUGCUCAACGCCGUCGAGCCGUUGAAACUGGCGUUCUUGAGUGGGCGAGAAGUAUGCGGAAUGCGUGGUGUAGCGGUGAAAUGCAUAGAUAUCACGCAGAACUCCGAUUGCGAAGGCAGCAUACCCGCGCCCUACUGACGCUGAGGCACGAAAGCGUGGGUAUCGAACGGG